UACGGAGGGAGCUAGCGUUGUUCGGAAUUACUGGGCGUAAAGCGCACGUAGGCGGCUUUGUAAGUUAGAGGUGAAAGCCUGGGGCUCAACCCCAGAAUUGCCUUUAAGACUGCAUCGCUUGAAUCCAGGAGAGGUGAGCGGAAUUCCGAGUGUAGAGGUGGAAUGCGUAGAGAUCGGGAGGAACACCUGUGGCGAAGGCGGCUCGCUGGGCCGGUCCUGACGCUGAAACGCGAAGGCGUGGGGAGCGAACGGG
rnacentral:rRNA from 1 species